rnacentral:rRNA from 1 species
GGGUUGUGAGGUUAAGCGACUAAGCGUACACGGUGGAUGCCCUGGCAGUCAGAGGCGAUGAAGGACGUGCUAAUCUGCGAUAAGCGUCGGUAAGGUGAUAUGAACCGUUAUAACCGGCGAUUUCCGAAUGGGGAAACCCAGUGUGAUUCGUCACACUAUCAUUAACUGAAUCCAUAGGUUAAUGAGGCGAACCGGGGGAACUGAAACAUCUAAGUACCCCGAGGAAAAGAAAUCAACCGAGAUUCCCCCAGUAGCGGCGAGCGAACGGGGAGGAGCCCAGAGCCUGAAUCAGUGUGUGUGUUAGUGGAAGCGUCUGGAAAGGCGCGCGAUACAGGGUGACAGCCCCGUACACAAAAAUGCACAUGCUGUGAGCUCGAUGAGUAGGGCGGGACACGUGGUAUCCUGUCUGAAUAUGGGGGGACCAUCCUCCAAGGCUAAAUACUCCUGACUGACCGAUAGUGAACCAGUACCGUGAGGGAAAGGCGAAAAGAACCCCGGCGAGGGGAGUGAAAAAGAACCUGAAACCGUGUACGUACAAGCAGUGGGAGCACAGAGCAAUCUGUGUGACUGCGUACCUUUUGUAUAAUGGGUCAGCGACUUAUAUUCUGUAGCAAGGUUAACCGAAUAGGGGAGCCGAAGGGAAACCGAGUCUUAACUGGGCGUUAAGUUGCAGGGUAUAGACCCGAAACCCGGUGAUCUAGCCAUGGGCAGGUUGAAGGUUGGGUAACACUAACUGGAGGACCGAACCGACUAAUGUUGAAAAAUUAGCGGAUGACUUGUGGCUGGGGGUGAAAGGCCAAUCAAACCGGGAGAUAGCUGGUUCUCCCCGAAAGCUAUUUAGGUAGCGCCUCGUGAAUUCAUCUCCGGGGGUAGAGCACUGUUUCGGCAAGGGGGUCAUCCCGACUUACCAACCCGAUGCAAACUGCGAAUACCGGAGAAUGUUAUCACGGGAGACACACGGCGGGUGCUAACGUCCGUCGUGAAGAGGGAAACAACCCAGACCGCCAGCUAAGGUCCCAAAGUCAUGGUUAAGUGGGAAACGAUGUGGGAAGGCCCAGACAGCCAGGAUGUUGGCUUAGAAGCAGCCAUCAUUUAAAGAAAGCGUAAUAGCUCACUGGUCGAGUCGGCCUGCGCGGAAGAUGUAACGGGGCUAAACCAUGCACCGAAGCUGCGGCAGCGACACUGUGUGUUGUUGGGUAGGGGAGCGUUCUGUAAGCCUGUGAAGGUGUGCUGUGAGGGAUGCUGGAGGUAUCAGAAGUGCGAAUGCUGACAUAAGUAACGAUAAAGCGGGUGAAAAGCCCGCUCGCCGGAAGACCAAGGGUUCCUGUCCAACGUUAAUCGGGGCAGGGUGAGUCGACCCCUAAGGCGAGGCCGAAAGGCGUAGUCGAUGGGAAACAGGUUAAUAUUCCUGUACUUGGUGUUACUGCGAAGGGGGGACGGAGAAGGCUAUGUUGGCCGGGCGACGGUUGUCCCGGUUUAAGCGUGUAGGCUGGUUUUCCAGGCAAAUCCGGAAAAUCAAGGCUGAGGCGUGAUGACGAGGCACUACGGUGCUGAAGCAACAAAUGCCCUGCUUCCAGGAAAAGCCUCUAAGCAUCAGGUAACAUCAAAUCGUACCCCAAACCGACACAGGUGGUCAGGUAGAGAAUACCAAGGCGCUUGAGAGAACUCGGGUGAAGGAACUAGGCAAAAUGGUGCCGUAACUUCGGGAGAAGGCACGCUGAUAUGUAGGUGAAGUCCCUCGCGGAUGGAGCUGAAAUCAGUCGAAGAUACCAGCUGGCUGCAACUGUUUAUUAAAAACACAGCACUGUGCAAACACGAAAGUGGACGUAUACGGUGUGACGCCUGCCCGGUGCCGGAAGGUUAAUUGAUGGGGUCAGCGCAAGCGAAGCUCUUGAUCGAAGCCCCGGUAAACGGCGGCCGUAACUAUAACGGUCCUAAGGUAGCGAAAUUCCUUGUCGGGUAAGUUCCGACCUGCACGAAUGGCGUAAUGAUGGCCAGGCUGUCUCCACCCGAGACUCAGUGAAAUUGAACUCGCUGUGAAGAUGCAGUGUACCCGCGGCAAGACGGAAAGACCCCGUGAACCUUUACUAUAGCUUGACACUGAACAUUGAGCCUUGAUGUGUAGGAUAGGUGGGAGGCUUUGAAGUGUGGACGCCAGUCUGCAUGGAGCCGACCUUGAAAUACCACCCUUUAAUGUUUGAUGUUCUAACGUGGACCCGUGAUCCGGGUUGCGGACAGUGUCUGGUGGGUAGUUUGACUGGGGCGGUCUCCUCCUAAAGAGUAACGGAGGAGCACGAAGGUUGGCUAAUCCUGGUCGGACAUCAGGAGGUUAGUGCAAUGGCAUAAGCCAGCUUGACUGCGAGCGUGACGGCGCGAGCAGGUGCGAAAGCAGGUCAUAGUGAUCCGGUGGUUCUGAAUGGAAGGGCCAUCGCUCAACGGAUAAAAGGUACUCCGGGGAUAACAGGCUGAUACCGCCCAAGAGUUCAUAUCGACGGCGGUGUUUGGCACCUCGAUGUCGGCUCAUCACAUCCUGGGGCUGAAGUAGGUCCCAAGGGUAUGGCUGUUCGCCAUUUAAAGUGGUACGCGAGCUGGGUUUAGAACGUCGUGAGACAGUUCGGUCCCUAUCUGCCGUGGGCGCUGGAGAACUGAGGGGGGCUGCUCCUAGUACGAGAGGACCGGAGUGGACGCAUCACUGGUGUUCGGGUUGUCAUGCCAAUGGCACUGCCCGGUAGCUAAAUGCGGAAGAGAUAAGUGCUGAAAGCAUCUAAGCACGAAACUUGCCCCGAGAUGAGUUCUCCCUGACCCUUUAAGGGUCCUGAAGGAACGUUGAAGACGACGACGUUGAUAGGCCGGGUGUGUAAGCGCAGCGAUGCGUUGAGCUAACCGGUACUAAUGAACCGUGAGGCUUAACCUUACAACGCCGAAGGUGUUU